ACCCCCUGGCAAUGGGCAAGGAGACACCUGAUUGGUGGUGUUGCUCUUAUAUCAAUCAGGGGCAAGGCAGAUGUACAGUCCUUAGUUCAUUCUAGCUUGUUGCCUGUAUCGGUGGCCAGACCUGUUUCAUGCCUGAGACACAUAA
ensembl:snoRNA